rnacentral:rRNA from 1 species
AUUGAACGCUGGCGGCAGGCCUAACACAUGCAAGUCGAGCGGAUGAAGGGAGCUUGCUCCUGGAUUCAGCGGCGGACGGGUGAGUAAUGCCUAGGAAUCUGCCUGUUAGUGGGGGAUUACGUCCGGAAACGGGCGCUUAUACCGCAUACGUCCUGAGUGAGAAAGUGGGGGAUCUUCGGACCUCACUCUAUCAGAUGAGCCUAGGUCGGAUUAGCUAGUUGGUGGGGUAAAGGCCUACCAAGGCGACGAUCCGUAACUGGUCUGAGAGGAUGAUCAGUCACACUGGAACUGAGACACGGUCCAGACUCCUACGGGAGGCAGCAGUGGGGAAUAUUGGACAAUGGGCGAAAGCCUGAUCCAGCCAUGCCGCGUGUGUGAAGAAGGUCUUCGGAUUGUAAAGCACUUUAAGUUGGGAGGAAGGGCAGUAAGUUAAUACCUUGCUGUUUUGACGUUACCAACAGAAUAAGCACCGGCUAACUUCGUG